rnacentral:rRNA from 1 species
GACGAACGCUGGCGGCGUGCUUAACACAUGCAAGUCGAACGGAAAGGCCCUGCUUUUGUGGGGUGCUCGAGUGGCGAACGGGUGAGUAACACGUGAGUAACCUGCCCUUGACUUUGGGAUAACUUCAGGAAACUGGGGCUAAUACCGGAUAGGAGCUCCUGCUGCAUGGUGGGGGUUGGAAAGUUUCGGCGGUUGGGGAUGGACUCGCGGCUUAUCAGCUUGUUGGUGGGGUAGUGGCUUACCAAGGCUUUGACGGGUCGCCGGCCUGAGAGGGUGACCGGCCACAUUGGUACUGAGAUACGGCCCAGACUCCUACGGGAGGCAGCAGUGGGGAAUAUUGCACAAUGGGCGGAAGCCUGAUGCAGCAACGCCGCGUGCGGGAUGACGGCCUUCGGGUUGUAAACCGCUUUCGCCUGUGACGAAGCGUGAGUGACGGUAAUGGGUAAAGAAGCACCGGCUAACUACGUG